rnacentral:rRNA from 1 species
UACGUAGGGGGCUAGCGUUGUCCGGAUUUAUUGGGCGUAAAGAGCGUGUAGGCGGCCAGGUAGGUCUGCUGUGAAAACUCGAGGCUUAACCUCGAGAUGUCGGCGGAAACCAUCUGGCUAGAGUCCGGAAGAGGAGAGUGGAAUUCCCAGUGUAGCGGUGAAAUGCGUAGAUAUUGGGAGGAACACCAGUGGCGAAGGCGGCUCACUGGACCGGAACUGACGCUGAGGCGCGAAAGCGUGGGGAGCAAAGCGGG